rnacentral:rRNA from 1 species
ACUGCUCAGUAACACGUGGAUAACCUGCCCUAAGGAAGGGGAUAACCUCGGGAAACUGAGGAUAAUACCCUAUAGGUUACAGACGCUGGAAUGCCCUGUAACCGAAAGUUCCGGCGCCUUAGGAUGGAUCUGCGGCCGAUUAGGUUGUUGUUGGGGUAACGGCCCAACAAGCCGAUAAUCGGUACGGGUUGUGGGAGCAAGAGCCCGGAGUUGGAUUCUGAGACAUGAAUCCAGGCCCUACGGGGCGCAGCAGGCGCGAAAACUUUACAAUGCGGGAAACCGUGAUAAGGGAACCCCGAGUGCCUGUAUAUGCAGGCUGUCCAGGUGUCUAAAAAACACCUGAAGAAAGGGCCGAGCAAGACCGGUGCCAGCCGCCGCGGUAAUACCGGCGGCUCGAGUGGUGGCCACUUUUAUUGGGCUUAAAGCGUUCGUAGCUGGGUUGUUAAGUCUCUUGGGAAAUCUGACGGCUCAACCGUCAGGCGUCCAAGGGAUACUGGCAAUCUUGGAACCGGGAGAGGUGAGGGGUACUUCGGGGGUAGGAGUGAAAUCCUGUAAUCCUCGAGGGACCACCUGUGGCGAAGGCGCCUCACCAGAACGGCUUCGACAGUGAGGGACGAAAGCUGGGGGAGCAAACCGGAUUAGAUACCCGGGUAGUCCCAGCCGUAAACGAUGCGCGUUAGGUGUAUCGGUGACCACGAGUCACCGAGGUGCCGAAGGGAAACCGUGAAACGUGCCGCCUGGGAAGUACGGUCGCAAGGCUGAAACUUAAAGGAAUUGGCGGGGGAGCAC